GGUGCUUGGCCGUCACCACAAAUGCAAUCUGCGUUGGCGGAUGCUUAAGAAGCCCGUCAACAAAGAUAAUUUUAGCACAAAAAAAAAACUGGUCGCAAGCGCUCGUAAGUCAGCAUCGUGGCCGCACUGCAACUCACAUCGUCGUGAGCCCCGAGGCACACCUUCUUGGCUCUGGACUCCAUUGCGUGCGCCCAUCCUAGAGCGCCACCGCAUAGGCACAGCGACUCAGCCUACGCCUAUGCGCCAUGCGCUAGCCGCGGAGCUCUGCGCGAGCGCGUCGAGCUCGGAGGCGGCGGCGAGCUUCUAAAGGCUCCUUCCCUAACCGGAGUCGCCGCCGGGCGCGUAGGUCCGCAUAGAGCUCGGCAGCGGCAGCGUGCCUCUUAUGCCUCCUUCCUCAACCGGAGUCGUAGCCAGCUGCAGCGGUAGCCAAGGACAUAAGCAGCACGGUCACCUCGUCGGCAGUUCGCUUCAUCCCCGGUGCAUGUUGGCAAUCACCCUCCACAUCCCCGCCAACUUGAGCAACCAAAACAAAAGUGCUGCGGUGAUUUUGUUUUUUUCAUCUACUGCAAUUAGUUCUGGUGCCGUUGUUCUUGCAAGAUUGAGCACGUACCUCGGACGAGUUGCAUGAGCAGUGGCAGAAGCUCGCCGUUGUGCACCGAAGCUGCCCAUGGGUCCGCCGGCCACAGCGCCUCUGCCCGUGUUGUCGCAGCUGCCUAUGGCUCCGGCCGACACGGCUCGUGCCCGCACCAAACACCAGCGUGGGGCCACCAGUAGCGGCUCUGCCGUCUGCAGCUUGCCGACGCAGCACGUGCCAGCCACCGCUCCAUCGUCCGAGCUGGCCACAG
rnacentral:lncRNA from 1 species